rnacentral:rRNA from 1 species
UCCUACGGGAGGCAGCAGUGAGGAAUAUUGGUCAAUGGGCGCGAGCCUGAACCAGCCAAGUCGCGUGAGGGAAGACGGUCCUAUGGAUUGUAAACCUCUUUUGUCGGGGAGCAAAAAACGCCACGUGUGGCGUUCCGAGAGUACCCGAAGAAAAAGCAUCGGCUAACUCCGUGCCAGCAGCCGCGGUAAUACGGAGGAUGCGAGCGUUAUCCGGAUUUAUUGGGUUUAAAGGGUGCGCAGGCGGAAGAU